AUUCGUGCCAGCAGUUGCGGUUAUACAAAUAAUAUAAUUUAAUUUUAUUAGUAAUAAUUGGUUUGUAAUUUUAAAUUUUAAGAUAAAAUUUAUAAGGUGAAAUUUUAAAUUUUUAUAAAAUUUUUAUUAGUUAAUGAAGUUAGGAAAUUUAAUUAAUAAACUAGGAUUAGAUUCCCUAUUAUUUUAAAUGUAAAUAUAAAUACUAGAUUAGUAAUAGUUAUGUUCUUGAAAAUUAAAAAUUUUGGCGGUAUUUUAGUCUAUUCAGAGGAACCUGUUUUAUAAUUGAUAAUCCACGAUUUUAUUUACUUUUUUUUUUAGCUUGUAUAUCGUCGUAAUUUGAAUAUUUUAUAAGAAUUGAAAUAUUCAGAAUUUUUAAUAAAAAAAUAAAUCAGAUCAAGGUGCAGUUUAUAAAAAAGAAAAAAUGGGUUACAUUAAAUUUAUUUAGGGAUUAUUAUUUUUAAAAUAAUAUGAAUUUGGAUUUGAAAGUAAAUUUAACUAAUUAGUUAAAUUGAUUUAAGCUCUAAAAUAUGCACACAUCGCCCGUC
rnacentral:rRNA from 1 species